AGGGCCAUCUGAAGACCAGGUGUUUCCCAUAUUGAAGUAGAGUCAGGCUUUUUAUAGCAGAGAGGAAAGUUGCCUACGAGUGAUUUUGUCUUGACAGAAAUUUUCAGCUUCGAAACUUGAGAUUCAGGUUGAUGACUGUCAUAUGAGAACUUUUAAGGACUGCUAAGAUGAAAUUUUGGAACAGAAUGUCUGCAGGAUUUCAAGGUGUGAAGGACACACUCUUUAGAAGCUUCUUGACUAUUUUCCCCCGAUGAACAUCACUGCUUUCUGUCAGCCAAGUCCUUUGAGAUCAAUAUCUCUGUAUGUGACUAUUGCCUGUAGUCUUCACACAAAUGAGAUUACACACAUACACACAUGCACACUGCACAAGAAAACUCAAGCUCUUUGUUAGAAGAUAAUCCUCCAGGUAACUUCCAAUGAGUUACUAUGUUUGGAAGUUGGAGAAAAAGAUUGUAAUGCCCUUCUUCAUCUCAUUUUUUCUCUCAGGAAUGGAGUGAGAGACUGAACCUGGGGAAAAACUGUUCAAGCUUCUUCCCUUAUUCUGGUUACUAAAGAUGCAAUUAGACAUUCAAAGCCAUUGCAAUGAUAAUAUUGUACUUCUAACUUGUGAACAGUUUAGCUAUUACAUAUUUUUCACUAAAAUCUCCCCAACAAAGACUCCCUACUAUUAUAACUUCAGCUGAUUCCAGUGCUACCUGAAGCCUUCCAACCAGAAUUUCACUGUUUUCUCAGGCACCUCUCUUGCUCUUUCGCGUAUAACCACCAUUAGAUCUACUCAAAUGUGUAUAAUCGCAACAUCUCAUUCAUUCUGUCUUUCAAACUUCUACAUAUUCCUAAUAUUAAAGUGGUGUGUGAAAUAUUUUAUCCUUCUUUUCUUUUUUCUCUUAGCGAUAUUCUCUUUAAAAAAAGUUCAGAUCUCUUUGCCUAUUUCUCACUCUAUCCUUUCUUCUUGUCAUCAAAAGCUACAUCAUCUAUGGUGCUAUCACUUCUUCAUCUAAACUUUAUUUAAUUAGAAAUCAUAAAGUGCAAAACACAUACAAACACACACCAUCUGGAAGCAAUAGAGAAGUAAAUACCUCUGUGUGACUGUUUGAUGCAAUUAAUAAAUGAAAAUUAUAAAGUGAAUUU
rnacentral:lncRNA from 1 species